UACGUAGGGGGCAAGCGUUGUUCGGAAUUACUGGGCGUAAAGGGCUCGUAGGCGGCCAACUAAGUCAGACGUGAAAUCCCUCGGCUUAACCGGGGAACUGCGUCUGAUACUGGAUGGCUUGAGUUCGGGAGAGGGAUGCGGAAUUCCAGGUGUAGCGGUGAAAUGCGUAGAUAUCUGGAGGAACACCGGUGGCGAAGGCGGUAUCCUGGACCGAUACUGACGCUGAGGAGCGAAAGCCAGGGGAGCAAACGGG
rnacentral:rRNA from 1 species